rnacentral:rRNA from 1 species
CCUACGGGCGGCAGCAGUGGGGGAUAUUGCACAAUGGGGGAAACCCUGAUGCAGCGACGCCGCGUGUGGGAAGACGGUCCUCUGGAUUGUAAACCACUUUCCCCAGGGACGAAGGUGACGGUACCUGGGGAGGAAGCUCCGGCUAACUACGUGCCAGCAGCCGCGGUAAUACGUAGGGAGCGAGCGUUGUCUGGAAUUACGGGGUGUAAAGGGAGCGUAGGCGGUGAUGCAAGUCGGGGGUAAAAACUACCGGCUCAACUGGUAGUCGCCCUUGAAACUGCAGCUCUUGAGUGAAGUAGAGGUAGGCGGAAUGCCUAGUGUAGCGGUGAAAUGCGUAGAUAUUAGGAGGAACACCAGUGGCGAAGGCAGCCUGCUGGGCUUUUACUGACGCUGAGGCUCGAAAGUGUGGGGAGCAAACAGGAUUAGAUACCCGAGUAGUC